UGGGGAAUAUUGCACAAUGGGCGCAAGCCUGAUGCAGCCAUGCCGCGUGUGUGAAGAAGGCCUCGGGUUGUAAAGCACUUUCAGCGAGGAGGAAGGUGGUGAACUUAAUACGUUCAUCAAUUGACGUUACUCGCAGAAGAAGCACCGGCUAACUCCGUGCCAGCAGCCGCGGUAAUACGGAGGGUGCAAGCGUUAAUCGGAAUUACUGGGCGUAAAGCGCACGCAGGCGGUUUGUUAAGUCAGAUGUGAAAUCCCCCGGGGCUCAACCUUGGAACUGCAUUUGAAACUGGCAAGCUAGAGUCUCGUAGAGGGGGGUAGAAUUCCAGGUGUAGCGGUGAAAUGCGUAGAGAUCUGGAGGAAUACCGGUGGCGAAGGCGGCCCCCUGGACGAAGACUGACGCUCAGGUGCGAAAAGGCGUGGGGAGCAAAACAGGAUUAGAUACCCUGGUAGUCCACGCUGUAAAACGAUGUCGAUUUUGGAGGUUGUGCCCCUUGAGGCGUGGNUUCCGGAGCUAACGCGUUAAAUCGACCGCCU
rnacentral:rRNA from 1 species